rnacentral:rRNA from 1 species
UUAAGCGACUAAGCGUACACGGUGGAUGCCCUGGCAGUCAGAGGCGAUGAAGGACGUGCUAAUCUGCGAUAAGCGUCGGUAAGGUGAUAUGAACCGUUAUAACCGGCGAUUUCCGAAUGGGGAAACCCAGUGUGUUUCGACACACUAUCAUUAACUGAAUCCAUAGGUUAAUGAGGCGAACCGGGGGAACUGAAACAUCUAAGUACCCCGAGGAAAAGAAAUCAACCGAGAUUCCCCCAGUAGCGGCGAGCGAACGGGGAGCAGCCCAGAGCCUGAAUCAGUGUGUGUGUUAGUGGAAGCGUCUGGAAAGGCGCGCGAUACAGGGUGACAGCCCCGUACACAAAAAUGCACAUGCUGUGAGCUCGAUGAGUAGGGCGGGACACGUGGUAUCCUGUCUGAAUAUGGGGGGACCAUCCUCCAAGGCUAAAUACUCCUGACUGACCGAUAGUGAACCAGUACCGUGAGGGAAAGGCGAAAAGAACCCCGGCGAGGGGAGUGAAAAAGAACCUGAAACCGUGUACGUACAAGCAGUGGGAGCACGCUUAGGCGUGUGACUGCGUACCUUUUGUAUAAUGGGUCAGCGACUUAUAUUCUGUAGCAAGGUUAACCGAAUAGGGGAGCCGAAGGGAAACCGAGUCUUAACUGGGCGUUAAGUUGCAGGGUAUAGACCCGAAACCCGGUGAUCUAGCCAUGGGCAGGUUGAAGGUUGGGUAACACUAACUGGAGGACCGAACCGACUAAUGUUGAAAAAUUAGCGGAUGACUUGUGGCUGGGGGUGAAAGGCCAAUCAAACCGGGAGAUAGCUGGUUCUCCCCGAAAGCUAUUUAGGUAGCGCCUCGUGAAUUCAUCUCCGGGGGUAGAGCACUGUUUCGGCAAGGGGGUCAUCCCGACUUACCAACCCGAUGCAAACUGCGAAUACCGGAGAAUGUUAUCACGGGAGACACACGGCGGGUGCUAACGUCCGUCGUGAAGAGGGAAACAACCCAGACCGCCAGCUAAGGUCCCAAAGUCAUGGUUAAGUGGGAAACGAUGUGGGAAGGCCCAGACAGCCAGGAUGUUGGCUUAGAAGCAGCCAUCAUUUAAAGAAAGCGUAAUAGCUCACUGGUCGAGUCGGCCUGCGCGGAAGAUGUAACGGGGCUAAACCAUGCACCGAAGCUGCGGCAGCGACGCUGAUGCGUUGUUGGGUAGGGGAGCGUUCUGUAAGCCUGCGAAGGUGUGCUGUGAGGCAUGCUGGAGGUAUCAGAAGUGCGAAUGCUGACAUAAGUAACGAUAAAGCGGGUGAAAAGCCCGCUCGCCGGAAGACCAAGGGUUCCUGUCCAACGUUAAUCGGGGCAGGGUGAGUCGACCCCUAAGGCGAGGCCGAAAGGCGUAGUCGAUGGGAAACAGGUUAAUAUUCCUGUACUUGGUGUUACUGCGAAGGGGGGACGGAGAAGGCUAUGUUGGCCGGGCGACGGUUGUCCCGGUUUAAGCGUGUAGGCUGGUUUUCCAGGCAAAUCCGGAAAAUCAAGGCUGAGGCGUGAUGACGAGGCACUACGGUGCUGAAGCAACAAAUGCCCUGCUUCCAGGAAAAGCCUCUAAGCAUCAGGUAACAUCAAAUCGUACCCCAAACCGACACAGGUGGUCGGGUAGAGAAUACCAAGGCGCUUGAGAGAACUCGGGUGAAGGAACUAGGCAAAAUGGUGCCGUAACUUCGGGAGAAGGCACGCUGAUAUGUAGGUGAAGUCCCUCGCGGAUGGAGCUGAAAUCAGUCGAAGAUACCAGCUGGCUGCAACUGUUUAUUAAAAACACAGCACUGUGCAAACACGAAAGUGGACGUAUACGGUGUGACGCCUGCCCGGUGCCGGAAGGUUAAUUGAUGGGGUUAGCCGCAAGGCGAAGCUCUUGAUCGAAGCCCCGGUAAACGGCGGCCGUAACUAUAACGGUCCUAAGGUAGCGAAAUUCCUUGUCGGGUAAGUUCCGACCUGCACGAAUGGCGUAAUGAUGGCCAGGCUGUCUCCACCCGAGACUCAGUGAAAUUGAACUCGCUGUGAAGAUGCAGUGUACCCGCGGCAAGACGGAAAGACCCCGUGAACCUUUACUAUAGCUUGACACUGAACAUUGAGCCUUGAUGUGUAGGAUAGGUGGGAGGCUUUGAAGUGUGGACGCCAGUCUGCAUGGAGCCGACCUUGAAAUACCACCCUUUAAUGUUUGAUGUUCUAACGUGGACCCGUGAUCCGGGUUGCGGACAGUGUCUGGUGGGUAGUUUGACUGGGGCGGUCUCCUCCUAAAGAGUAACGGAGGAGCACGAAGGUUGGCUAAUCCUGGUCGGACAUCAGGAGGUUAGUGCAAUGGCAUAAGCCAGCUUGACUGCGAGCGUGACGGCGCGAGCAGGUGCGAAAGCAGGUCAUAGUGAUCCGGUGGUUCUGAAUGGAAGGGCCAUCGCUCAACGGAUAAAAGGUACUCCGGGGAUAACAGGCUGAUACCGCCCAAGAGUUCAUAUCGACGGCGGUGUUUGGCACCUCGAUGUCGGCUCAUCACAUCCUGGGGCUGAAGUAGGUCCCAAGGGUAUGGCUGUUCGCCAUUUAAAGUGGUACGCGAGCUGGGUUUAGAACGUCGUGAGACAGUUCGGUCCCUAUCUGCCGUGGGCGCUGGAGAACUGAGGGGGGCUGCUCCUAGUACGAGAGGACCGGAGUGGACGCAUCACUGGUGUUCGGGUUGUCAUGCCAAUGGCACUGCCCGGUAGCUAAAUGCGGAAGAGAUAAGUGCUGAAAGCAUCUAAGCACGAAACUUGCCCCGAGAUGAGUUCUCCCUGACUCCUUGAGGGUCCUGAAGGAACGUUGAAGACGACGACGUUGAUAGGCCGGGUGUGUAAGCGCAGCGAUGCGUUGAGCUAACCGGUACUAAUGAACCGUGAGGCUUAACCUU